UACGAAGGGGGCUAGCGUUGCUCGGAAUUACUGGGCGUAAAGCGCACGUAGGCGGCUUCUUAAGUCGGUGGUGAAUCCUCGGAGCUCAACUCCAGAACUGCCUUCGAUACUGGGAGCUCGAGUCCGGGAGAGGUGAGUGGGAACUGCGAGUGUAGAGGUGAAAUUCGUAGAUAUUCGCAAGAACACCAGUGGCGAAGGCGGCUCACUGGCCCGGUACUGACGCUGACGGUGCGAAAGCGAUGGGGAGCAAACUGGG
rnacentral:rRNA from 1 species